GGGAUACGUUCGUUGGGUAGGGGAGCGUUCUGUAAGCCUGUGAAGGUGGCCUGUGAGGGUUGCUGGAGGUAUCAGAAGUGCGAAUGCUGACAUAAGUAACGAUAAAGCGGGUGAAAAGCCCGCUCGCCGGAAGACCAAGGGUUCCUGUCCAACGUUAAUCGGGGCAGGGUGAGUCGACCCCUAAGGCGAGGCCGAAAGGCGUAGUCGAUGGGAAACGGGUUAAUAUUCCCGUACUUGGUGUUACUGCGAAGGGGGGACGGAGAAGGCUAUGUUGGCCGGGCGACGGUUGUCCCGGUUUAAGCGUGUAGGUGUGUGUUCCAGGUAAAUCCGGUUCACUUUAACACUGAGGCGUGACGACGAGGCACUACGGUGCUGAAGCAACAAAUGCCCUGCUUCCAGGAAAAGCCUCUAAGCAUCAGGUAACAUCAAAUCGUACCCCAAACCGACACAGGUGGUCAGGUAGAGAAUACCAAGGCGCUUGAGAGAACUCGGGUGAAGGAACUAGGCAAAAUGGUGCCGUAACUUCGGGAGAAGGCACGCUGACAUGUAGGUGAAGUGAUUUACUCAUGGAGCUGAAGUCAGUCGAAGAUACCAGCUGGCUGCAACUGUUUAUUAAAAACACAGCACUGUGCAAACACGAAAGUGGACGUAUACGGUGUGACGCCUGCCCGGUGCCGGAAGGUUAAUUGAUGGGGUCAGCGCAAGCGAAGCUCCUGAUCGAAGCCCCGGUAAACGGCGGCC
rnacentral:rRNA from 1 species